GGUAAACGAGUAUCAAUUCCCUGUGGAUACGAUCCUCUUACCACUGUCUACAAUUUUAAUAUUGUUGGUAGUUAAACAGGUUAUUUAUUUUGAUCGGCUUCGACAACCGUUCUGUCAAAAUUGGCGCCGUUGCCGGGGAAUUGUCUAACUUGUUUAUUUUCUUUCUUUUAUGACCAGAUCUGGACGCGAGGAAAUCCUACCUUACGAUCCAGAAAUUGAGCGCACAAUCAGGAGACUAGGUAAGCAAACAGGUACACAUUUAGGGACUGUGCAAUCCGGAUUUGCGCAAAGACACCUUGAAAUCGCAGAUCAGCCUCCUGAAACCACUUCAACGCAUC
rnacentral:lncRNA from 1 species